AUUGAACGCUGGCGGCAUGCCUUACACAUGCAAGUCGAACGGUAACAGGUCUUCGGAUGCUGACGAGUGGCGAACGGGUGAGUAAUACAUCGGAACGUGCCCGAGAGUGGGGGAUAACGAGGCGAAAGCUUUGCUAAUACCGCAUACGAUCUCAGGAUGAAAGCAGGGGACCGCAAGGCCUUGCGCUCACGGAGCGGCCGAUGGCAGAUUAGGUAGUUGGUGGGAUAAAAGCUUACCAAGCCGACGAUCUGUAGCUGGUCUGAGAGGACGACCAGCCAAACUGGGACUGAGACACGGCCCAGACACCUACGGGAGGCAGCAGUGGGGAAUUUUGGACAAUGGGCGCAAGCCUGAUCCAGCCAUGCCGCGUGCAGGAUGAAGGCCUUCGGGUUGUAAACUGCUUUUGUACGGAACGAAAAGACUCUGGUUAAUACCUGGGGUCCAUGACGGUACCGUAAGAAUAAGCACCGGCUAACUACGUGCCAGCCGCCGCCGUAAGAC
rnacentral:rRNA from 1 species